rnacentral:lncRNA from 1 species
AGAAUUUCCUUUGAAGUUGCUUGUCUUUUGAAGGAGAAAGUGUUGGUGAUGCUUGGGUGUAACCAUGGAGUUGCUUCUUUGGAGGUUUUUCAGAAAAGGGUCUUGGGAUAAGGGCCUCCUUCCAUGGUCAAUGGGUGGCCAAUGUUAUUCUUGGACUUUGCCCAUACCUAGUGAUCCUUGCAAGGCAAAGUCUACCCAUUUUCAAAAUUUGCACUUCCCUGUGUAAGGGAAUAAAGCAC